rnacentral:rRNA from 1 species
AGAGUUUGAUCCUGGCUCAGAACGAACGCUGGUGGCAUGCCUAAUACAUGCAAGUCGAACGAGAAAGUACCUUCGGGUGCGAGUAGAGUGGCGCACGGGUGAGUAACGCGUAGGUGAUAUGCCUAUUAGUGUGGGACAACAUCGUGAAAACGGUGCUAAUACCGCAUAAGCUUGGUGAAAUUGAAAAAACCAAGGAAAGGGGGCUUCGGCUCUCGCUAAUAGAUUGGCCUGCGUAGCAUUAGCUUGUUGGUGGGGUAAUGGCCUACCAAGCCACGAUGCUUAACUGGUCUGAGAGGAUGAUCAGUCACACUGGAACUGAGACACGGUCCAGACUCCUACGGGAGGCAGCAGUAGGGAAUAUUGCGCAAUGGGGGAAACCCUGACGCAGCAAUGCCACGUGAGUGAGGAAGGUCUUCGGAUUGUAAAGCUCUGUCCUAUAGGAAGAACUGCCAUUGGGUUAAUACCCCUUUGGUUUGACGGUACUAUAGAAGAAAGCACCGGCUAACUCCGUGCCAGCAGCCGCGGUAAUACGGAGGGUGCAAGCGUUGUUCGGAUUUACUGGGCGUAAAGCGCGCGCAGGCGGACUGGCAAGUCAGAUGUGAAAUCUCGGGGCUUAACCCCGAAACUGCGUCUGAAACUGCUAGUCUAGAGUCUCACAGGGGGUAGGGGAAUUUCACGUGUAGGGGUAAAAUCCGUAGAGAUGUGAAGGAACACCGGUGGCGAAGGCGCCUACCUGGAUGAGUACUGACGCUGAGGCGCGAAAGCGUGGGGAGCAAACAGGAUUAGAUACCCUGGUAGUCCACGCCGUAAACGAUGAGUACUAGCUAUUAGAGGUAUUGACUCCUUUAGUGGCGCAGCUAACGCAUUAAGUACUCCGCCUGGGAAGUACGGUCGCAAGACUAAAACUCAAAGGAAUUGACGGGGGCCCGCACAAGCGGUGGAUUAUGUGGUUUAAUUCGAAACACGCGCAGAACCUUACCUAGGCUUGAAAUCCUACGAAUCCGACGUAAUUGUUGGAGUGCUCGCAAGAGAAUGUAGUGACAGGUGCUGCAUGGCUGUCGUCAGCUCGUGUUGUGAAAUGUUGGGUUAAGUCUCGCAAUGAGCGCAACCCCUAUCUUUAGUUGCCAGCAUUAAGUUGGCACUCUAGAGAGACUGCCCGGGUUAACCGGGAGGAAGGUGGGGAUGACGUCAAGUCCUCAUGGCCCUUAUGCCUAGGGCUACACACGUAAUACAAUGGUACAUACAAAGAGAAGCGAUCAGGUGACUGUCAGCAAAUCUCAAAAAGUGUAUCUCAGUCCGGAUUGGAGUCUGCAACUCGACUCCAUGAAGUUGGAAUCGCUAGUAAUCGCGGAUCAGCACGCCGCGGUGAAUACGUUCCCGGGCCUUGUACACACCGCCCGUCACACCAUGGGAGUUGUUUUCAUUUUAAGACGUGACUCUAACUUCGGAGGAGAGCGUCUACAGUGGGAGCGAUGACUGGGGUGAAGUCGGAACAAGGUA